ACUGCUACAUUGCAGGAGGAUGACUAUGGGGCCCAAGAAGGUGAUCUGACAGGUGAUUUCUCUGGCACCCUAGAAGAUCAGAAGGGACAUUCCCAGUGUGCUCUGCACACCCACACUUGGGUGUACCAACUCAAUGCAGACAGAGUUCCUGCUAUGUUUGGUGGAGUUGUUCUGUUGGAUGGUGUAUCCACAAAGAUGGGGCUUGUAACAAGGCCAGAACUCUGUGGUCCAUGUUCAAGUAGUGCUUCUGGACAUAACUUAUCUGCAACAUUAUGGAGUAAAAUAGAACCUGUCUCCCUCUGCUGGUCUUCAGAGG